AGUAAAAAUUUCCAUUCAUUUUUACUAUUAAAAAUUGACGUCAUUAAUAGAAUAACCAAAUAAUUACACAUGACGUGUCAUGUCUAACUUAUGUCGACAUACAAUAACUAAUUUUAACAAUAGAAGUGAAUAAUUUUUCACA
rnacentral:pre_miRNA from 1 species